UGCCAGACUCCUACGGGAGGCAGCAGUGGGGAAUAUUGCACAAUGGGGGGAACCCUGAUGCAGCAACGCCGCGUGGGUGAAGAAGUACUUCGGUAUGUAAAGCCCUGUCAGCAGGGAAGAAAAUGACGGUACCUGAAGAAGAAGCCCCGGCUAACUACGUGCCAGCAGCCGCGGUAAUACGUAGGGGGCAAGCGUUAUCCGGAUUUACUGGGUGUAAAGGGAGCGUAGACGGCAGUGCAAGUCUGGAGUGAAAGGCGGGGGCUCAACCCCCGGACUGCUCUGGAAACUGUACGGCUGGAGUGCAGGAGAGGUAAGUGGAAUUCCUAGUGUAGCGGUGAAAUGCGUAGAUAUUAGGAGGAACACCAGUGGCGAAGGCGGCUUACUGGACUGUAACUGACGUUGAGGCUCGAAAGCGUGGGGAGCAAACAGGAUUAGAUACCCCCGUAAC
rnacentral:rRNA from 1 species